rnacentral:snRNA from 1 species
GUGCUAACUUCAGCACUAAAAUUGGAAUGAGACAGAAGAGAUUAGCAUGGCCCCCACACAAGCAUGACACAUAAAUUCAUGAAGCAUUCCAUAUUUUA